AGGUCCCAGGAAAGAUGCCUGUGGCUGUUGCUGGCAGGAUGUGUGCCUGGCAGCCUCCUCAGUUCCUCCCUUAAAUGCCCCCACUUUCUCUCUGCCACGAUGCUUAUUUUGUCAUCUUGAAAACCACCAGUAAUAGAGGAGAUUCAAGCAGACGCUGAUUCUCAAUGUCCACCUUUGUCACAGAUGGGAUGCAUGAAUGUCUGUUCUGCAUUUAUGCUCUUACUAUCGGUCACAAUCUGUGUGUGUGAAGUCUUUUGCAGAAACAUCACGGCAACGCAGAAGUUCAAAGAAAAGCUCCAUCAAACUUGAUGGACUGAUGAGACUCUUACUUCUCAGCAAGCUUAAAGCGUUGUAAAAUGUCUUUCGAAGAUCUGGCUCUAAGACAGUGUAACUGUAGGAGAGAAGAUCCUUCAGCUCAUGAGGAAAGUUACUUAGAUGUCCAGGUAGCAGUGACCAAUCUGGGCCAUAAACACCACCAGCUCUGCCAGUCCUCUGCUGGGUUUACUUGGUUGUAACUUGAAAACCUCCACACUGGAUCAGAUGCGUAACUGCAGUGGGUUGCUGGGCAGCUUGUUGUUGUUCCUGCUGGACACAUUGGCCAAAGACCGGCUGUUCGAGGAGCGCUUCCAGAAAGGCUUGCACGCACUGCGGCUGGACUCCAGCUCCUGAGCCUAGCUUGAAACGGCACGUGGGUGCAGCCAGCAGGAAGGGCCGCAUUGACUUCUAAACUGUGUUCGCUUAUUGGCCUCUGUUCAAAACUAGACUGGUGAAAUCUAAAUCUUACAGCCUAUAGAGAUCAACGGUCCUCUUACAAAUGAAAUGCCACAUUGAUCUCUUGAAAGCCUGCCAAAUGUUUACUUACAUGGAAUAGAUAUUAUGGCUUAAUCUUUACUGCAUUUUUUUCCUGAUGAUGUCUGUGGUCUCUGAAGGGUUUUUUGAAACAAGGUCUUGCUGUCUAGUCCAGCAUGGCCUCAAACUCCUUAUGUAGCCCAGGCUGACUCCAACAUGUGGUCCUCCUCCCUCAGCCUCCCAAGAGCCAGGAUUACAAGUGUGCACCACCAUACUCAAGGGCUCUAAUUGUGAAACUAUUUUUAUUGAAAUGAAUAAUGAUUUUCUUGUUUCCAAAGAAACUUUUCCCGAAAGGAAAAGUAGUUAAAUGAUAUUUUAAAUUAGAAGAUGAAAACAAAGAUUGCCGGGAGCAUGUAUUUUCCCUAAUAAGACAUAAAGGCAUAUUCGCAUAGUAGUUAAGGGCAUGAAUUAUGGUGCCAUGCUGCAUAGCUUUAAAUCCCAGAUUUGCUGCUUAUAAACUGUAUGAUCUUAGACAUGUCAUGUAAUUUCUCUAAACUUUAGCUUUUCUUAUCUGUAAAAGGGGACAAAUGGUUCCUGCCUCACAGGGUCAUCAUGAAGCUGGGUGUGGUGCGCACGCACCAGGCAGCGGCACCACUGAACUAAAUCCCCAGAUCACCCUAGUUCUAAUAUUGGCUCUUCUGCCUCUACUUUAGACUAGAUUAUUCCAUGGACAGACAGUUUGAGUUGCCCAAAGAAUCCCUAUUAUUGAGCUAAAGUCUAGCUUAAGAUGAAGGAUUGUUUAACUCUGAAGGACAUUAAGAAUUUUUAAUGUCCUAUAUAAAUCCUUACACUAGGAAAUCAAAGAUAGAUGCUACACCUUGCUUUUAUUCCUACUUGUGGGAUAGCAGAUAAUUUAUUUGUUUUAACAAGCACUUCUGGUGGUGUGUGCCUGUAAUCCCAGCCACUUGAGAGGCUGAGGCAGGAGGAUUACUUGAGCCUAGGGGCUCAGAAGCAGCUGGGCAACACAGUGAGACACCCUGUUUUUUUAAAAAACAAAACAUUUCUAAGGAAAGAUGCUUGUUUGCUGUGUGCAACAACCAGCAGUUGACUAGAACCUGUUACUAAUUUAUUCCCAAACUCCAGCCGAUUUUGGUUAUGCUCCACUGGGCAUUCGUAACCCUGAAGAGCUAGAAUGAAUUGUCCAGGACACUGAGCAGGGGCCACCUGCCUCAUCAGGGAGAGAGCAGCCAACUGGCACCUAGGGCCUGAAUCAGUGGGGAAGGAAACCACAGAGCCCUUCAGGAUCAAUCUUCAUUUUUCUUUGUCGUCCGAGCUACAAAGAGGCACUGAGGCAUUGCAGAAGCAUAAAUCUUUAAAAAUCUGCAGUGUUAGUCACUCUGCCUUAUUAUAACCCCACUGUGCCUGUGCUUUGUAGGAAAGACUAAAAUCUAGCUGGCCCAGCCCCCACCUAGUAAGCUUGUGAACUCUCAUCAUAAAACAUAGGGCAAUCAAAUCCUCUUGUAGGAGAUGAAUGGAGGACGAGAGGAGCCCAUUCGCCUGCGUAGUAAUCAUUCUCUCCAACCUCCAAGGGAUGCAGCAGGGUGGGAAUGUAAGGAAGACAGCCCUUUGUUUGGCUGGGUGCAGCCGCACUCACCCUGUCUGCAAAGGGCCUCUUCAUGGGAGAUCUUUCAAAAUUACAAAAUGCAGGGCUGGGGAUUUAGCUCAGAGGUUUCGCCGCCUGCUGUGCAAGUGCAAGGUCCCAAGUUCGAUCCCUGGUACCAAAAAAAAAAAAAAUUACAAAAUCCACAAUGACAUUAGUCUAGCUUCUGCUUUAAAGUGAAAAAUGUCACAAAGCUAAUAUUAUAUGGUUCUAUAAAGAAAAACAUACAUGAGCUCUGUUUCAAGGGCCUGUAAAGUCCCCUCUCCAUUAUUUCCAUUUUGUUUUAUUUAUUUGUUUAUUUAUUUUUUGGUACUGGGAUCGAUCUUGGGACCUUGCGCUUGCGAGGCAGGUGGCAGAACCACUGAGCUAAAUCCCCGCCCCUGUUAUUUCUAUUUUAAAUUACUAUGUAUACUCCAUUUGAUUUUAAGGGAAAAAUAUGCUCUUACAAGCUAGAUGUUUUUCAGGAAUUUGGAGAUGUCUGAUGAGAUGGUAAUAAAAUAACAGCUGAAAGCAAUGAGAAACGCUCAUACAUAGCAAUUUUCCCAGCUGUUUUUGCUCUUUUCUCUUUUAUACCCAGGCGAUUUCUGGCUUUUUCUUCAGCACUGAUUCGAAAUCAAUACUCCAGGAGAUCUGGCUUCUGUUGUCCUAAAGGAAAUCCCUUCUCGCCAGGGUGAACCUAGCGUAGCUGGCGCACCAUGGUCUCUGCUGCAGCAGAAGGUGCCAGAGCCUUCUGGGACAUUUUUCUGAUAAUUCCAUAAAUCCCUGACCCGAUGGGUUUUAAAAAUUGAGGUGAUAUUUACAUAAUAUAUCAGUCAUUUUUAAGUGAAUGAUUCAGGACAUUUGGUAUAUUUACAGUGUUGUACAGCGCCUCCAUCUCAUUCCAAAACAUGGCCUUCACUCCAAAAUAAAACCCCACACCCACUGAAUAGUCAGUCACUCCCCACCCCUGGCAGCCCCCAGUCUGCGUUCUGUCCCAGUGGACUUUGGAA
rnacentral:lncRNA from 1 species